rnacentral:ncRNA from 1 species
AGCUCGCGUUGACUACGUCCUGCCCUUUGUACACACCGCCCGUCGCUCCUACCGAUUGAAUGAUCCGGUGAAGUGUUCGGAUCGCGGCGACGUGGGCGGUUCGCUGGCCCGCACGUCGGCGAGAAGUCCACUGAACCUUAUCAUUUAGAGGAAGGAGAAGUCGUAACAAGGUUUCCGUAGGUGAACCUGCGGAAGGAUCAUUG